rnacentral:rRNA from 1 species
UUCCAUGUGAACAGCAGUUGAACAUGGGUCAGUCGGCCCUAAGGAAUAGGGGAAACCCGUUCCGAAAGACGAGUCUGACGAGCAUUUUUUUCUUUUGUAAGAAGGGCUCUCACGACCGAAAGGGAAUCCGGUUAAUAUUCCGGAACCUGGAUGCGGAGAUUGGCUGACCCGUAAGAAAGAAGGAAAUUUAUUUUCUUUUUCAGUCCCCCUUUCCGUUUCGAUUGAAUCGUUUUGUUCUGAAAGAAAAAAAAAGAUUAGUCCGGCGGCUGGUCCCUCUGCCUUUUCCUCGGAACUGGCUUUGUGGACUAAAGUCGGCUUUUUUUCCUUUUUUCUUUUACGAGACUUUUUUUUUCUUGACGGUUGUUGGGGGGGGCCGGGAGCCCAAAGCGGUAACGCAGAACGAACUCGGAGACGCUGGCGGGGGCCCCGGGAAGAGUUUUCUUUUCUUUGUAAAGGACGGACUCCCUGGAAUCGGCUCGCCCGGAGAGAGGGAUGUUGUUCCUGUAAAGCACUGCGGCUCUUGCGGUGUCCGGAGCGCUCUCGCCGGCCCUUGAAAAUCCGAGGGAGUGGUCCGAUUGUAACCUGAUCGGAGAUUUCCGCACCAGACCGUACCCAUAUCCGCAGCAGGUCUCCGAGGUGAACAGCCUCUGGUCGAUAGAACA